rnacentral:rRNA from 1 species
UUAAAUUGAAGAGUUUGAUCAUGGCUCAGAUUGAACGCUGGCGGCAGGCCUAACACAUGCAAGUCGAACGGUAACAGGAAAAAGCUUGCAGCUUGCUUCUUUG